CUCUUGGCCUUUUUCAAGGCCUCAAACAUAAUAAUUCAUUUAUUCU
rfam:Equus caballus chromosome 6, whole genome shotgun sequence.